AAUGAAAUAGAGCAGUAUGGCCAGCUCGCCGGGCUCAUGCCCCGGAGGUCACAGGUUCAACUCCUGUUUUCAUUA
rnacentral:tRNA from 1 species